rnacentral:rRNA from 1 species
GAAGCCGGAAUUGCUGUAAUGGCAGGUCAGCAUACUGCCGUGAAUACGUUCCCGGGCCCUUGUACACACCGCCCGUCACACCAUGAGAGUUGGGAAUACCCGAAGCCUGUGAGCUAACUAUAUGAGGCAGCAGUCGAAGGUAGAAUCAAUGAUUGGGGUGAAGUCGUAACAAGGUAAC